GUUGAACGCUGGAGGCAGGCUUAACACAUGCAAGUCGAACGAGCGGCGGACGGGUGAGGACUAGCUGGGAAACUGCAUGAUAGAGGAGGACAACUACUGGAAACGGUAGCUAAUACCGCAUACCAUAAGAUGAGCACAGAUGGGAUUAGCUAGUGGGUGGGGUAAUGGCUAACUUAGGCGACGAUCCCUAGCUGGUCUGAGAGGAGGACAAGCCACACUGGAACGUGGACACGUGCCAGAAUCCAACGGGAGGCAGCAGAGGGGAAUAUUGCACAAUGGGCGCAAGCCUGAUACAGCCAUGCCGCGGGGGUGAAGAAGGCCUUCGGGUUGUAAAGCACUUUCAGCGAGGAGACGUUACUUGCAGAAGAAGCACCGGCUAACUCCGUGCCAGCAGCCGCGGUAAUUC
rnacentral:rRNA from 1 species